UGCAGUGGUAAACGCAUAGCUGAAAGGCGCUCCAGCUAGAUUGUAUUUAGCAAAUGGGUGGUUUUUAUACGAGCGGAGUUGUUAAAAGAAAUUUCACAAGAAAUUUCUUGAAAUUUCUUUUUUCCCCCAUGUUUCUUAACUCUGUUCGUGAAUGAUCGAAGAUCGCUAUGUCCCCGUUAGAAGCUAUGGUAAAGAAUCGAUUGUGCGGUAGUCGACCAAUUGCAUUCGAAACGAGUAUAUCGAAAUUCGUCCAGCUCUUCGAAAUCCAAAAUGGCGGCCAAUGGCCUUGAGGUCCCCGUCUGAGCUUGAUAAAAAUUUGUGUCAUCAGCUAUAAUUUUUAUCUCAAGACUAGUAUUUCGCACUGUUUUAAUACAUUCUGUGAAACUUAUUGGUGGUUCAUGUGAAGUUCCUUAGAAUUACAAUAAUAUCAGUCAUUAGCCAUGGAAUCUCUGUGUAAUAAUUACACCAGUGAUGACGAAAAUGACAGCAAUUGCAAGGACAGCCCAAGAUCCUCCAACUCAAAAUCAGAAUCUAAGGAGAUGGAUGCAAACUAUGAAUCAAUAACUAUGGAUAUGAGUGAGUGUACCAACUGAAGUGAUAGAAUCUGAUGGGACUUCUCGACGGCUUCGGCUUCCACCUCCGAGCCCACUUUGAGCGACGGUGAGUCUGUUGCCUCAUCCUUUCUCCGUAACCGAACUUUUUCAAAGUGGGUUUGUAUGCCUGUAGCUCAAGGUAAAUAUCAGCCAUUGUCUUAAUCUUACUUCAUAUUUCUCCAGGAUUCUCUGCCGCUCCCCUUAAAUUAUCUUCUCCCUUUGUUCCUUAUUCAAAAUUUAACCCAUGCAGUAAACUCCUAUAGCCCUAUUUACAUAGCAUAAUGAAGGAUAGCAUCUGUGUUCAUGGUCUUCGAUGGAUCUCAUUGUCAGACCUACCAAUUACACACACCAAAAAAUAUUGAAUGAACUGAUGCUCAAGUUAUGCUGAAGCACAUAUCGUCACCUUCCAGGCAAAGUAUCACAAGCGCCAUGCGACGUCUCAAAAUUUCCGGCGCCAUUUUACUUUUUUACAGAGAAAUUGAUGGUUGAAUCUGUUUGAAAAUUUCACUGAAUUUUAUCGGCAGCACAAAGAAAAUUCAGUGAAAUUUUCGAACAGCCUUGUUGAACAAGUUCUCUGUAAAAAAAUAAAAUGGUGGCGAAAAUUUUUAAAUGUCGCAUGGCGCUUGUGAUACUUUGCCUGGAAGGUGGCGAUAUCUUAGUGCAGAUUGUUUGUCUUGGUGCUAAUUGUUUCUUCCAUUAAUAUUUUUUUCGUACAUGAGUACAUCAGAAUUCAUGUUAGUAUACUUCUUUCACCAUUAAAGAGAAUCUUUAACCACUCACAUUCUGAAGGCAAAUUUGCCUCAGAAAUUGCAUGACCAAAAUUUAGAAAGCAAGCUGAAGAUUUGAAAACUUGAAAAUUUGAUUUAAUCAUAUUAAUUGAUGCGUGUAAAUAGUGCUAAAGAAGAAAUGUUGCAAAACGGAUUAGAAUGGUGUGUCCUCAGAUGAGUGCGAAAAAAAAGACGGACCAUUGUGUAUACAGUACCUUAAGAUGGCUAUGUUUAGAGGUAAAAUUCCGAGUCUCUCACUUGCUGUGUCACAGUGUAAAGUGUUGACACAGAUAGUUGGUAUGAGAGGUGUUUUUAAAGUAUUUUCCUAACUAAACAUUUUUACAAACUAGUUUUUCCAACAACAUUUCAUCCGUUUUAAAGGCUAUUUUAAUUAAUUUUUGUGUCAAUCCCCAUUCCCUCUUUUUCUGUAAAGUUAUUGAUUUUGCGUAAAACAGGGUCAUUAUCAUUUAUUGUAAGAGGAAGGACUCACAAUCAUUUUACAAGCUAGAUCAUCAUAAUUUCUAUUGUUUGAAAUACUCCUUUAAAAACUUUGUAGAGAACUUGCUGAAAAGCAUCUAUUAGAUAAAAAGAGUAUACACAUGAGAGAGAAAAAAAGAAGAAGAAAACUACUUGAGUACUUCAACAACUUAGAAUUAAAAUUAGUCCUCUUAAACAUAUGAAGCAUAUCGACUCAGAAAACGACAAAUUUUGACUGAAAUUAAAUGAUUACCAAAAGGAGAGAUCAAAAAAAAAAAAAAAUUUCCUCCUAGAACAUUGCAAUUUUCAAGGUUCUAAAUUUAAGAAAAAUUUGAAGUAUACUGAAUUCUUCUGGAUUAGACACUCGAAAUUUUCAACACUCUUAUAGCUGCUAAGUAAUAAACUUUCCAACUUUUAAGUACUAAUCAUAUUUUCCUAAUUGGCCAGUUCAUCAGUCGCCAAUACUUAGAUAUCCUUCUGACAUGGCAUGAGAGUCCAACUUGGCUCUAAAAAUGUCUUUUCAAUGCACAAUGGAGGUGUAUGGUCUAUAGUUUUUUCAUAGUCAUUUCUUUGCGAAAUUGGUCAGGAGUUCAGGUUUUAAAUCUCAAUGUCACUUACUGGCGUACAAAUUGUGUUUCCUAUCAAGUGAAUGAAUUUACGAAUAGGUAUAGAAGAAAUCCUCAAGAGUGAAUUGCCUCCAUGUAUCAGAUUUUGCGAUGACACCUGAAUCAUUUGUUGACUGUGUAACCUUUGUCUCUGAUCCUGUACUUACAUCUAAGUAUUUAUUUUCAUUUCUCUUAGUUUGUUUUUCUUUCAUUUUCAAAAAUACAUGAACAAUUUUGAUAAAAAUAUUAAUUUGUUUGGGAUUGAUGAUGUCCGUGCUUGCAAAUAACAGAUUUUGAAUUGCAACUCUUUUAAAUGAUUAGUUUUCACAUUUGAAAGCUUACAUUUGUGUGUUGACAUCCCACUUUUCCCCCGCUAUCACUGAAUAUUUUCCCCCUUCUGAAAUCCUUAGGUAAUUAAUUUGUGUUGCACUCUAAUGAGCCUCAAUAGAGCUUUUGAAAGUUGUCAUUAUGAAAUUUUAAUUUUCUUUUUCUUUUGACGAGUGGUUGGUCCAGCUCAUUCUACUUUUUUAGUUUCAAUUGUUAUUAAUUCGUGAGGAAAUCUGUGGAAAGGAUCCUUAUCUUCUAGGAGAAAAUGUUCCUCAACUUUUUGAAAUUGCACAAGGAAGAAAAUCUGGACACUUAAGCGCAAUAUUGAGCAGAAAUUCUAUGUAAUUGAAAGGCAUAUUAGUCCCGAAGUUUCAAGACUGAAAUUCUGAGGUUGUAGGAAGAUGCAGUUUAAGUGUUUGCAAAAAGUUGAGGAAAAUUCCCCAAGAUAUUUUCCCAAAGA
rnacentral:lncRNA from 1 species